UACGUAGGGGGCAAGCGUUGUCCGGAAUCAUUGGGCGUAAAGAGCGCGUAGGCGGCCCAGUAAGUCCGCUCUGAAAGUCAGGGGCUCAACCCCUGGAUGCGGGUGGAUACUGCUGGGCUAGAGUCCGGAAGAGGUGAGUGGAAUUCCUGGUGUAGCGGUGAAAUGCGCAGAUAUCGGGAGGAACACCAAUGGCGAAGGCAGCUCGCUGGGACGGUACUGACGCUGAGGCGCGAAAGCGUGGGGAGCGAACAGG
rnacentral:rRNA from 1 species